rnacentral:rRNA from 1 species
GAAGGACCCCGCAACCGGUUCGGAAACGGCCUUAAGGGUCGGUAAUGGCAGUUGGCCGGUGGCUCGCCUCGUGUGGGUCGUCGGUUGUUAGCCGUCCGAUCUUGGCUCGUGGCCGGACCGUGGUGUCGCGAGGCCCGUUUGGGCUUCUUCGCCUCCUCCGUUCGCGGACGCCGGGAUCCUGGGGCAGGGGUUCGCACUUCUGCGGGCGCACGGACCGACUCCGUGGCCCAGCGGUCGCAUGCGUCCUCGUUGGCCUCGGUGAACCCGUCGGAGGUUGGCGGUUAGCGGGGAGUAGAUCGGUCACCCACCCGACCCGUCUUGAAACACGGACCAAGGAGUCUAACAUGUGUGCGAGUCAAUGGGUCUCGAAUAAGCCCAGAGGCGCAAUGAAAGCAAAGCCAGGACUCGUUUCUGGUAAGUUGAGACCUUCCGCUCCUUCGCGACGGAAGAGCACCAACGACCCGUCCUGUCCCAUUUAUGGGUUGGGCGGAGUUUGAGCAU